CUCUUUGCUGACGAGUGGCGGACGGGUGAGUAAUGUCUGGGAAACUGCCUGAUGGAGGGGGAUAACUACUGGAAACGGUAGCUAAUACCGCAUAACGUCGCAAGACCAAAGAGGGGGACCUUCGGGCCUCUUGCCAUCGGAUGUGCCCAGAUGGGAUUAGCUAGUAGGUGGGGUAACGGCUCACCUAGGCGACGAUCCCUAGCUGGUCUGAGAGGAUGACCAGCCACACUGGAACUGAGACACGGUCCAGACUCCUACGGGAGGCAGCAGUGGGGAAUAUUGCACAAUGGGCGCAAGCCUGAUGCAGCCAUGCCGCGUGUAUGAAGAAGGCCUUCGGGUUGUAAAGUACUUUCAGCGGGGAGGAAGGGAGUAAAGUUAAUACCUUUGCUCAUUGACGUUACCCGCAGAAGAAGCACCGGCUAACUCCGUGCCAGCAGCCGCGGUAAUACGGAGGGUGCAAGCGUAAUCGGAAUUACUGGGCGUAAAGCGCACGCAGGCGGUUUGUUAAGUCAGAUGUGAAAUCCCCCGG
rnacentral:rRNA from 1 species